UGGGGAAUAUUGCACAAUGGGCGCAAGCCUGAUGCAGCCAUGCCGCGUGUGUGAAGAAGGCCUUCGGGUUGUAAAGCACUUUCAGCGGGGAGGAAGGCGAUAAGGUUAAUAACCUUGUCGAUUGACGUUACCCGCAGAAGAAGCACCGGCUAACUCCGUGCCAGCAGCCGCGGUAAUACGGAGGGUGCAAGCGUUAAUCGGAAUUACUGGGCGUAAAGCGCACGCAGGCGGUCUGUCAAGUCGGAUGUGAAAUCCCCGGGCUUAACCUGGGAACUGCAUUCGAAACUGGCAGGCUAGAGUCUUGGAGAGGGGGGUAGAAUUCCAGGUGUAGCGGUGAAAUGCGUAGAGAUCUGGAGGAAUACCGGUGACGAAGGCGGCCCCCUGGACAAAGACUGACGCUCAGGUGCGAAAGCGUGGGGAGCAAACAGG
rnacentral:rRNA from 1 species